GGGGUUGUGGCUCAGUGGUGGAGCUCUUGCCUAGUAUGUAAGAGGCAUUGGGUUCUAUUCUCAGCACCA
rnacentral:tRNA from 1 species